rnacentral:rRNA from 1 species
GUGGGGCGAGUGGCGAACGGGUGAGUAAUAUAUCGGAACGUACCCAAGAGUGGGGGAUAACGUAGCGAAAGUUACGCUAAUACCGCAUACGAUCUAAGGAUGAAAGUGGGGGAUCGCAAGACCUCGUGCUCCUGGAGCGGCCGAUAUCUGAUUAGCUAGUUGGUGAGGUAAAGGCUCACCAAGGCGACGAUCAGUAGCUGGUCUGAGAGGACGACCAGCCACACUGGAACUGAGACACGGUCCAGACUCCUACGGGAGGCAGCAGUGGGGAAUUUUGGACAAUGGGCGCAAGCCUGAUCCAGCAAUGCCGCGUGAGUGAAGAAGGCCUUCGGGUUGUAAAGCUCUUUUGUCAGGGAAGAAACGGUAGAGGCUAAUAUCCUUUGCUAAUGACGGUACCUGAAGAAUAAGCACCGGCUAACUACGUGCCAGCAGCCGCGGUAAUACGUAGGGUGCAAGCGUUAAUCGGAAUUACUGGGCGUAAAGCGUGCGCAGGCGGUUUUGUAAGUCUGUCGUGAAAGCCCCGGGCUCAACCUGGGAAUUGCGAUGGAGACUGCAAGGCUUGAAUCUGGCAGAGGGGGGUAGAAUUCCACGUGUAGCAGUGAAAUGCGUAGAGAUGUGGAGGAACACCGAUGGCGAAGGCAGCCCCCUGGGUCAAGAUUGACGCUCAUGCACGAAAGCGUGGGGAGCAAACAGGAUUAGAUACCCUGGUAGUCCACGCCCUAAACGAUGUCUACUAGUUGUCGGGUUUUAAUUAACUUGGUAACGCAGCUAACGCGUGAAGUAGACCGCCUGGGGAGUACGGUCGCAAGAUUAAAACUCAAAGGAAUUGACGGGGACCCGCACAAGCGGUGGGAUGAUGUGGAUUAAUUCGAUGCAACGCGAAAAACCUUACCUACCCUUGACAUGUCAGGAAGUCCGGAGAGAUCUGGAUGUGCCCGAAAGGGAACCUGAACACAGGUGCUGCAUGGCUGUCGUCAGCUCGUGUCGUGAGAUGUUGGGUUAAGUCCCGCAACGAGCGCAACCCUUGUCAUUAGUUGCUACGCAAGAGCACUCUAAUGAGACUGCCGGUGACAAACCGGAGGAAGGUGGGGAUGACGUCAAGUCCUCAUGGCCCUUAUGGGUAGGGCUUCACACGUCAUACAAUGGUACAUACAGAGGGCCGCCAACCCGCGAGGGGGAGCUAAUCCCAGAAAGUGUAUCGUAGUCCGGAUCGCAGUCUGCAACUCGACUGCGUGAAGUUGGAAUCGCUAGUAAUCGCGGAUCAGCAUGUCGCGGUGAAUACGUUCCCGGGUCUUGUACACACCGCCCGUCACACCAUGGGAGCGGGUCC